rnacentral:lncRNA from 1 species
AUGGUUGGCGCAUACUCUGGUGUGAAGGUGGGACUCCGCGAAGACGUCGCACAGUACCUGGAAUUGUGUAUUGUGCACAACCUUGUGCUGAGACAAGGGAAAACCGCCAUCUUAUUGCUCACUCAAUGCCUCCAUAACACCAAUUUUUCACUCCCGGGCUUUGCAGCAGCCCGGUGUACUUUCCAUAAUACGCCUAUUACACAGGCAUCCUCACUAGCCAUCGCUUACACAAUUACCCGUGUGAUUUUCUCCAUCCCGGCGUGGUUGCCAUCGUCUUCGGUCCCCACCCAGUAUAACUUCGGGAACCCAUGGAAACAGAUGACAUGUGCUAAUAACAGCAUCUUUGGGAAGAUGAUUUUGCUUUUCAUGAAGAAAGAAUGUUUUGAACUGUUGUACUGGAAUUUCAGUGCCUGCAAUGUUGAAGGUGACACCAGCUCGGAUAUGUAUUGUUUGGGGGUCAUAAAUGACCUUUGGAGCAUUUAUAAAAGUGGUAGUUACAGAAAACUUAUUAUCCUGAUGCUGAGAAGCAAACACUUUAAGAGGCACCUGGAACCCUGGUGCGCCGUUGCCAGACUCAGUUCAGAUUGAGAAACAGUGGGACCUGGGACUGAAACGCCUGCUGCCUGACCUCUGGAGGAUUUUCCUUUUUGGAGUUUUAAUAGGUGUCAUCAGCCCAGUAGGGGAGACUCUUGGCAAACUCGAGAUUUUCUCCUUCCAGAAGCUCACUGGUCCUGCCUCUGUGAAAGGGCCAAAUUUGUCAGUGGGAAAAGAAUUUUAAGAAGUAUCAUGAAGUAAACGAUUUUGCCAUGCUCUGGAUAUUGACCCUUACUAAUAAAGCUUCUUACAUUUUUAAACA